ensembl:lncRNA
AUGGGGGGGGGGGCACCAGGCGGUCGUCAUAGAAACCGAGGAGGAGGAGGAGGGCAGCAUGGGAACCAGAUGAGCGGCAGCCAGGACCCCGGCUCCCAGCCCUACUCCCAGGGGCCCAUCCCCCAGGGUUACGUCAACAUGAGCCAGUGGAGGCAGCCGGGCCCGUCUGGCCUGUCCCCGUCUGGCCUGUCCCACCCCCUCCUGUCCCCUCCGCUCCUGUCCCAGCCGGGCCCGUCUGGCCCGUCCCACCCCCUCCUGUCCCCUCCGAUCCUGUCCCAGCCGGGCCUGUCCCACCCCCUCCGUCCCCUCCGCUCCUGUACACUCCACUCCUGUCCACUUCGCUCCUGUCCCAGCCGGGCCUGUCCCAGCCCGAGGCUUCACAGGUGCUAGACUGCGAGCGACAAGGUUAACGCUGAAUUCUUGACGGGUGCUCUCUUAAGCCAGUGAAGGAUGGAUUUUGGGUGGAAAAGACAACGACAACCCGAGUACAGCUGGACACGAGGAGAGCAAGAGCGGAAGCUGCACGGCUUCCAAUGGGAGGAUACCGCGAAGGAGAAAGCCGUCCACCGAGAAGCAGAGUUGGACCGGGUCACAUUGACCUUUGGUAAAACGGAGGGCGGAAGGUCACAUGUUGGCUGAGUGGGAGAUAGGGGACAGCCCUAUCUCUCACGAGGGGGGGGGGGUCGGAGGGGGGGGGCAGGGCGGGGAGGGGGUGGUGUGUCCUUCAAAGCACGUUUGGUGAGCUUGCUCCAAAAAGGGGAGAAGGAAGAGUGAGUAGAGCUGCUCAGUGCCACACUACUCAAAGUGCACUCAAACAGCAGGACUUCCCCCGGCUACAGAGGGAGACACAGAGAGGCCGGAGGGGGACGGGACUCAGGGCAAUCAGCCGACAUGGGAACCCUCUUUUGAACGUUUUGUUGGCCUUUUGAACGUCUGAGUUAGAGAGGACUUUUUGUGCUGGUAGCGCUGCAGAUUUAAGGAGAUAAACAUCUGAGGGAGAAAAUGUAUAGUCUCUAAUUAUGUGCGGUGCAUCGUCGAAUAUGAGUUGGAAAUGUCUCGGCAUGCAGCCUGUCUUUGUUAAGAUUCUAAUAUACGGCAAGUGAACGUCAUGGGCCAUCAAUCUGGGAGGUCUUAAAGCGCUUUAUAAAAUAGAAGAUUUUCAUUGAUAUAUUUCACACCGUUUAGUCUUCAAACUCCAAGCAGUAGACCAGAAGGAUCUGUGACAAUUCGAUUUUGGAUAUCUAGAUAUAUAUUUCACCAAUGACACCAAAAGCUGCAGCAAGUAAAUAGACACCAUCAAUAUUGUGUUAAGAGUUAAGAGAAGUUCAUGUUUUUCAUCAUUUGAAAAUGAUUAGCCAACCUUGAGUGAAUUCACGUGAAACUGGCCCAGAAUCACCAUUUUCCGCACAGGCAGAAUGAUGACGAAGCUUACAUCAACAGAAUAACCCAAAGGAAGAAUAUUGCCAAAAGGUCCAAAAGUAGUGAUUGAAUAAAUGGAGACGUUUAUUGAUGUAAAGUAAAGGUACAGUGAAAUGCAUGUUAAUUCAUUGUGAUGACCCUUGGCUCGGCCUUAUAGUGACCACUUUGAGUUGUGUCCACUUGUUGACUAUAAAGGAAGAGGGCAGAAGUGUUGAGACACAAGUUUCAGAGUCCCAGUUUUGGCCUUCACAGAAUACCUCUGAAAAAUAGAUGAGAAACCUCCAAGUGACUGAAUCUGGUUGAAUCUUCAUGAAGGAGGUCAGGUAGUAGCGGACUCACACUGUUUGAAGGCAGGGGCGAAAAAAUAAAAAGGGCACAUUCUGCACAACAUGGGGCCCCACCAAGUGUGCAAAAAGCUAUGAUGCAUCACGUAUGGCACUUUCUCUCGUAUUCACCACUCUGUAAGGGCAUUAAGAGGGCACUCAUUGAGGCACGUUAUCGAAUUAUCUUGUUGUAGAAGGCUCAUCAUCAUAAUUUAUUGUAUGAAGGGGCACCAGAGGGCACCCAAUAAUUCUUUUCACAUGUAAAGGGCAGCCAAUAAGGCACUUUUCUCUCUCGCCACUCUUGAGGGCACUAUUUCAACCAUGGAGGCCCCCCCCCCCCCCCCUGAGUCCGCCACUGAGGUCAGGAAUAGAAUCGGCACUGAGUUGACUGUUCUCUUUCCACAUUGGGCACCGGAAAUCCUUAUUUGAUGGCAGUCGAUAGAUUUAGAUCAUAUCCUGCUUUAUUUAGAGCAGAGUUGGAAGAGUUAGUUUAGUUGCCUGUGGUUUCGUUCUCCCUGUUUGGACGCCUCAAGCUCAUGAAACAGAAGAGAUAAUCGAUUGAAGCGGACAAAACAAAGUUACACCCUACUGUCACCAUCCUGCUGUGUAGAAGUAGUGUGCUCAUUAUAAAUAACAACAUCCCACUGUUAUUCGAUUAUAACAUAAAAAAAAAUGAUAUUGUACAUAUUUAUGUCUGAUAGACAAUCCUAUGUUAAAUGUUUGAAUAAGAUCCACCCAUUCAAUUGAUUUGAACCUUGUGUAGUGGAUGCAGCCAGGAACAGAACUGCAACUAACAGAGUGCAUGUAGGUACAGUAGCAUAACCACGGUAUUGAUGACGCUGCAGGAGCUUAGUUUCUCACUACUGAAUAUCUGUUUUUCUGCCGGUACCUGUAGGGAGUGUUCUCUAGUGACCCACGUGUCUAUUUCCUGCGUAGUGCCUGACCUUUUGCGUGGAUAUAUAUAGAGCAUAAUUUGCUUAUAUUGUAGCAACCAGAAGCAUUCUGCUUUGUCAUGUCCCACUACGACCACAUCCAGAAGGGCCAUUUAUUUAUCUUUACUGCUGACGGUGUGAUUUGAAUAGAUUUAGUGUGCUUCGGGUAGAAAACAAAAAAAAAAAACUCUUGAAAUGCCUCUUUUUGUUAGUUACUGCACGUAAAAAAAAAAAAGACGGCUUGAAAUGUAGCCAAUUUCAGUUGAAUAAUGUUUGGUGAUCAAAAUGACACACUGUAAUUGAUAUACAAUAAAGGAUCGGAUUCCUAAUUGUUCUGAUACUCGUCGGGUUCCCGUCAGUCAUUCAUCGGCCUAACAAUAAUAAUCAGAAUCAACGCAGCAAGACCGGACGCAUGUAGACUCCAAUAUGUUGGACUUCAAUAUUUUUUACCAUUCUUUAAAUACAGUCAUUGGUCAUAGGCUAGCCCAACGUUGCAUAUAGUUAGUGAAAACCAUGUCCCGAUGGGUUUGACAUGAGGCGCCAGUGAUCCAGCAGGUGGUGGUGUGGUGUCGACCAGGAGCCCGUAACUAAGCGCUACUGAAGCGCAGCUGCCUGCAACUCUCCUCCAGCCUCAGACCGUCUGGCUACUGCUACUGAUGCUGCUGCAGUCUGCAUCCCGGAUAAAACCCGUCCCAAGUCAUGUAGUUAUUACUUAGUACAUCACCAUUGACAAAAGAAGACAAAUCCACUGGCCGUUGAAGUUUGAAGCGUUCAAAGCAGCCGGGGGUAAAACAGCGGCUGCCUCUGGUCUGGUUAGGAUACUGGUCCACCGGGUAAUGGACGAGCACACUGAUCCACAGGGUCCUCAGCAUCUCGGAUGUUUUUACGCGGUCCUUCCAGUCAAAAAGACUCAAGUGACCGAAAAAAAUAA